rnacentral:rRNA from 2 species
UAGGGAAUCUUCCGCAAUGGGCGAAAGCCUGACGGAGCAACGCCGCGUGAGUGAUGAAGGGUUUCGGCUCGUAAAACUCUGUUAUUAGGGAAGAACAAAUGUGUAAGUAACUGUGCACGUCUUGACGGUACCUAAUCAGAAAGCCACGGCUAACUACGUGCCAGCAGCCGCGGUAAUACGUAGGUGGCAAGCGUUAUCCGGAAUUAUUGGGCGUAAAGCGCGCGUAGGCGGUUUCUUAAGUCUGAUGUGAAAGCCCACGGCUCAACCGUGGAGGGUCAUUGGAAACUGGGAAACUUGAGUGCAGAAGAGGAAAGUGGAAUUCCAUGUGUAGCGGUGAAAUGCGCAGAGAUAUGGAGGAACACCAGUGGCGAAGGCGACUUUCUGGUCUGUAACUGACGCUGAUGUGCGAAAGCGUGGGGAUCAAACAGG